rnacentral:misc_RNA from 1 species
AAAAUUUUUUCUGUUUACCUCCAACAAUUGGUAUCAGAGCAAGAAAGUUCUUAGAGGGCUGUGUACUUGAGAGAAAACAAGUAAGAUUUUCAAUUUUAGUUAGCCAAAGACCAAACACUUUUCCCUGUUUUUCUUCAUGGCUAUGAGCAGCAUCUCUCUAGCCACACCUCCAGUUUUUUCUGGAGAAAAUUAUCAGAUUUGGGCAACUAAAAUGAAGACUUAUUUGAAAGCUUUUGACUUGUGGAAUGCUGUGGAAACAGGUGAGGAUCCUCCACCCUUACGAGCUAAUCCUACAUUGGCUCAAAUCAAGAAUCACAAUGAAGAAAGCAUGAAAAAAUUUAAAGCUCUCACUUGCAUUCAAACGGCAGUUUCAGACAGCAUUUUCACUCGCAUCAUGGCUUGUGAAACAGCAAAAGAAGCAUGGGAUAAGCUAAAAGAAGAAUUUCAAGGCAGUGAAAGAACAAUCCAGAUGCGUGUGCUCAACUUAAGAAGAGAAUUUGAGAAUUUGAAGAUGAAGGAUUCAGAUACUGUUCAAGAGUUCACUGAUAGACUUUUGAAGGUUGUGAAUCAAAUCAGAAUGCUUGGUGAGGAGUUGACAGAUAAAAGAGUAGUUGAAAAAGUACUUGUAAGCUUGCCAGAGAAAUUUGAGUCAAAAAUUUCUUCUCUUGAAGAAUCAAGAGACCUCUCAAAGCUUCCAUUAACAGAGCUUGUCAAUGCCUUGCAAGCAACUGAGCAAAGAAGAUUUAUUAGACAAGAAGACUCUGCUGAGGGAGCAUUUCAAGCAAAACACAAUGACAAACCCAAAUCUGAUGGUGGAAGAAAAAACCAAAAGGGAAAGGGCAAGAAAGAUGGUGAAAGCAGCAGGUGGAAAGACAAGAAAAAAUUUCCUACAUGUCCACAUUGCAAGAAAACUACUCAUGCUGAGAAGUUUUGCUGGUAUCAUCCUAAUGUGCAAUGUAAAAAUUGCAAGAAAUAUGGACAUGCUGAUAAAGUGUGUAAAGCUCAUCCUCAACAGCAACAAGGACAACAGGCACAAAUGGCAGAAGGUCAAACUCAACAGGAGGAGCAAUUAUUUGUUGCUUCCUUUAACUCAGCUUGUAUUGAUGCAGACUCUUGGUUAGUUGAUAGUGGCUGUACUCAUCAUAUGUCCUUUGAUGAAAGCUUAUUCAAAGAGCUUGAUGAAAAUUACACUUCAAAAGUCAGAAUUGGGAAUGGUGAGUUUGUGGAGGUGAAAGGGAAAGGAGUCAUUUCAAUUCAGACUUCAUCAGGUACAAAACUGAUCUCUGAUGUUCUUUGGGUGCCUAAAAUCAAUCAAAAUUUGUUGAGUGUGCCUCAAAUGCUUGAAAAAGGAUACUCCUUGAUUUUCAAAGAUAAAUCCUGCACAAUCAUUGAUCCUAAUGGCACUAAGCUUUGUUCAUUAAAGAUGAGAGGUAAAAGCUUCACUUUAAACUUUGAUCAAUCAAAUAUACAUGCCAUGUCUUCUGUCAAUGAUGUUUCUGCUUUAUGGCAUAGAAGAUUGGGUCAUUGUAAUUACACUUCACUUGAAUACAUGUCUACACAUGAUCUAGCUACAAAUUUACCAACUUUGAAAACUAGUAGUGCUGUAUGUAAAGUUUGUCAAUUUGGAAAGCAAAAUAAGCUUCCAUUUUCUGCAAAUCAAGCAUGGAGAGCUUCUAGCAAGCUGGAACUCAUUCAUUCGGAUGUUUGUGGUCCUAUGAAGACUUCCUCAUUAAAUGGGAGCAGAUAUUUUGUGGUGUUUAUUGAUGAUUUCACAAGAUUUUGUUGGGUUUACUUUCUUAAGCAUAAAUCUGAAGUUUUUGCUGUGUUUCAAAGAUUCAAAUCUUUGGUAGAAAAUCAAAUUGAAUCCAAGAUCAAGAUGUUUCGUUCUGAUAAUGGAACGGAGUAUACUUCUUCAGAAUUCUCUCAAUUUCUUCAAAAGGCUGGGAUUCAUCAUCAACUUUCAGCUCCUUAUACUCCUCAACAAAAUGGAGUAUGUGAAAGGAAGAACAGAACAGUCUUGGCUAUGGCAAGAUGUCUAUUAUUUGAGAAGAAUAUUCCCAAAAAUUUCUGGGCUGAAGCAGUCAAUACUUCAGUCUAUUUGUUAAAUAGACUUCCAACGAAAGCUCUUGAGAACAAAACUCCAUAUGAAGCCUGGCACGGUGUGAAACCAUCACUUGAUCAUCUCAAGGUCUUUGGUUGCAUUUGUUAUUUCCAUGUUCCACAAGCAAAAAGAGAUAAGCUAGAUCAAAGAUCAAUUGCUGGUAUUUUUCUAGGAUACAGCAGCUAUUCAAAAGGUUAUAGAAUCCUUGAUAUGAGAUCGAAAAAAG